CUUGGUAAACAUAAACUUACCAUUUAUUAAAGAUGAAAGCAAAUUUUCAUACUGAUGAGAUUGAUUAUUUUUACAUAAAUAAUUAAAUCUCGGCGGAAUAUUUAUUACCUUUUGCUGUUGCCAAAUUUUCCCGACCCUCAUAUUCGGUUCAGCUACCACAGUGGGAGGGGCAUUGGACCACAGGAUGCUUGUUUCAGUUGAACCACCAGGGGGAACUGGUGAGCGAGGCAAGCUCGGCUGUUAAUCCCUUUGCAGCCAGGGAAGCAUCUUUGGGGUCUGCUUCCCUUCUAGCUCAAACGACGUUCCUUUAAGCCCCCGCCCCUGAGUUCUGCCGUCAAGGGGAGGGAGGGACGUGGCAAGUUGCUCCCGAGCUCAGUGGCUCUUGGCACUUCGUUGCUUCGGGCUGUGAGGGGGUAUUUUCCUGGAAGUGGGGUCCUUCCCUUCUCUUGGGAGGCUCAUUAAACCAAUGAAUAAAUAAAGAAGGGGGAGAGAAAAAUAAUAACAAAACAAUUCCCAACAUCCAAAGCGCACUGGGGCUUUCCCUGCUGCACCAAAAUGAGGUCUUCUUCUCUAUUCUAGCCUCUGUCACGCUCCUUGCACCAACUGUUCAAAACCUUCCCUUUCCUCUGGGAUAGUGGCCUGAGCUUCAGAAGGAGGGAUGUUUGCAGGAAGGUAAUUUUGCAGAUGAAUAGAAACGGUUCAGUUUCACAGAUGUAGGAAGAGGAUUAGUCCCGGCCACUUACCUAGCUCAUGGGGGCAUCCGUUUUUGCAGGAGCCCAGUCCUGAUCACACACAGGGCACAUCUAACUUCACCUGGUCAUUUCCUGGCCCCCCAAAGUCCCAGCCCUCCAGCAAGUCCCUGUGUUUAGCUUUUAGCAACUGCUUUUUUGGCCUCCUGCCUUCAAGACUUGCCUCUCUUCCUUCUCACCAGCCCCCUCCCAAAGGGUCAAAGCACCAUUUGGGAGUCUGAGUAGCAGUUGGUACAGCAACUCUCCCUCCCACCCAUGAAAGUGGGACCACAGAGGAUGCCUGAGCCUGGAGUGUCCAGGCUACAUCGGAAACUCCUCUCAAACGCAAAUAAUGGGAACACUCUUGGCUCACUCUUUGUAUUUGCAGAUAUAGCGUUUAUAUUGUCUGCUGAGUAGACUUUCCAUUCCUGUCCCCCAGUGAGAAGCUGAGGGAUUUUAUCCUUCCUCCCUCUCACAGGCAGACUUCUGAGAACCAUCUACACUUGCUGCCUUCUUUAUCAGCUCCAUCGCUUGGCUAAAACUCACAAAUGAUCCCUGAAAGUUGGAAUCUGGGGAGUUUUCCUUCCCUUCUCUGUAGCAAUACAAGGACACUCUCCAGGACCCUCUGAAGAACUUUGGAAUCGGUCGUGUGACAUGGGAGACACUGACCCACCCAGCAGGAUGUGCCCUCAUCAGAGAAGGCUCUGUGCUUGUGAGAAAGCAGAAUUGCAGUAGCUCAAAAAAUAUGAGAUGCACGCAUUUAGAUGUCUCGACUCCAAGUGUUCCCCGCAGACUAUCGGCCCCUGACCUGUGAUAGAACCUGCUGGUCUCGUAUUGGUCUGAUCAGCCAUGGUUAGGCACACUCUGCCGACUCCUACAUUGUGAUAUUAUUUGGGUUAUUUGAGGAUCAAACACCAAGGAUAAGAGCCAACAAGCUUGGGACAGUGCUGGUCCACUUCCUCCUAGACAAGCUGCCAACCCUUGCUCAAGAAAGACAAAAUAGAGUUCGUUUGUAAAUGUAGGAAUGUAUACAUGUAUAGAUGAGGGCAUAGUUAGAAUGGAACUGAGGGUGGACAUAGGCAGCCGGGUUAUGAAGAGAAAAAUCACAAAGAUGGGGGAAUGUAAUCGUAGAAUAAUCUGAUCAGGUUAUCUCUGGACUACCCUGUUUUUCAGAAAGCACAUCAUGGCCUUAUCAGCUUUGGUCACUGGGCUGGGGGUGUCAAUGUGAGCCAAUCUGAAUUGCUUCUGUGACAUAGCAGGGUGAGUUCCAGGUUCAGCAAGCAAAUAAUGUGAGCAAUUUCUUGUGUGCUCAGGUUGUCUCCAGCUUAUGACUCUCGGGUUAAUCUUGCCUCCUUUGAAUAGGAGGGGAGCUCAAGUCAAUCAAGAUGGUUAGAAAAAAACAUGAACUGCUUCAGUUUUACACUGUCCCUUCAGUGUCCCUUGCUAGAGCAUCCACAAAGCUUUCCCCCAGGUGCUCGUCAUCUCUCCUAAUUUUCUUCUCCUUUGUGAUUUCGUCUGCUUCCACCAUUCAAACAUCCUUUGAUGACUCAAAUUACACAGCCAGCUCACAUCUUUCUGUCAACUCUUCCCCAUGUGGCCAACUGCCACCUUGUUCUUGAUUCAGGUGGCACCUUGAAUUUAUUUUGUACAGAACAGAGUUGAUUUUCUUUAUCUGUGAAGUCACUUUUUCUCCAAAGACACUCUUUCUGGGUGGUGGAGUCCACCCAUGAGUAUGCUUGAGUAAUGCUCAUGCUUGAGUAAAAAGGAGGUUUUGAGCAGUUGCUUCAGGGAACAUGAUAGGGGUUAAAAUCAAGAAUAAAAAAAGGAUUCAUGUGAUACCAAAACUCAAUAAGCAUUUAGUGUUUACUGUGUGCCAGAUUAGGGCAACUAGAUGGCACAGACCUGGAUAGAAGCAGAAAGACUCAUCUUCCUGAGAUGCAAUCUGACCUCUGACACUUACUAGCUGUGUGACUCUGGCUAAGUCACAUAAUUCUAUCUGCCUCAUUUCUUCAAUUUUUUAUCUGUAAAAUGAGCUGGAGGAGGAAAUGGUAAACUACUCCAGGAUCUUUGCAAAGAAAACCUAAAAUGGUGUCUGGAAGAACUGGAUGACAGAAAAUGAUCUAACAGUGUUCUAGGCACUGUGUUUAAUGUUGCAGACAGAGAAAACAAAUGUAGUCUUAGCGCCCAAAGAGCCAAUAUUCUAAUGGGAUGAUGAGGUCCUGGAUGCUGUUUUGGACAGAAAGAAACUAAAGAAUUGAUUGCUGAGGCAAGCAGGAAAAGGCACUGAUAGAGAUCUUUGCAGUCUGAAAUCCAAAUUAUGUCAAACUCCUGAGACCUACCCUCCAUAGAGGUCUUAAGCAGUCUCACCUUGCCAUGUCCUGCUAGAAAUCCCAGUCAUGUCCCUAAGGUUAAAUAUAAUGCAUACUUAUGAAAUAUAAAUACACUUUAUGUAUAUAAUUUAUAUUUAACAUAAAAUAUACUUAUGGACCAUCCCAUUGGCUGCUGCCUUCCUUUGGGUCAGCCCACCAGGAUACUCUCUGCCUUGUGGUGUCUUUCCCCUUCUCCUUCCCCCAUGCCAUGUGGUCUCUCUCCUAACUCCACUAUACUUCUUAACUGCACUUCUCCUCCUUACAGUCAUCUAACUCUUCAGGGUGCCAAGUUCCUUUCAGGAUUUACCUGCCAGCCAAGGCAAGCCACAACCUCAUGGGGUACUCCCUUUCUAUUAGGCAAUUGUGAGUUCCCCUGAGGAAGUUGUCUUUCAUAAGCUCUUUCAACUGUAUUUCAUAUUUACCAUUUCUGUUGUCUAUUGUAUCCCUUCAUUUUGUCUGUAACAUCUUCCCUAAAUUAAUCUAUCUUUUGCCAAAGAGAAUGGCCAUUGUGAAUUCUUCACAUAACCAAAGCCCACAUCAUAAAUCACAUCAGGGAGACAAUAUGUAUAAAUUGGGACACACAAGGUCAAUGAAUAGAAAGACAGACAGAUGUAUAAAGGGAAAGUAACAUUAAGAGGGAAAGUAUUUUGGGGAGUGGCCAGAGAGGGAAAGACUGUCCCACCCCUUCCAAAGAAGGUAGCACUUGAACAGCAUCUACCAGAGAUUAUGCAGAAGUGAGUCUUUUUUUGGUAUUUUUUCUGAAUUAUACAUGUAUAUUACCUUUUUAAAUACACAUUUCUCUUAAAUUGUGUUGAAAGAGAAAACUCAGAAAAGGGAAAAAUCACUGGAGAGAAAAAAAACAGAAAAAAGAAGUGAACGUAGCAUGUGUUGAUGUAUAUUCAAUCUCCAUUGUUCUUUUUCUGGAUGUGGAUGGAGUUUUCUAUCCAAAGUUUAUUGGGAUUGCCUUGGAUCACUGAGAAGAACCAAAUCUUUCAUAGCUGAUCAUCACACAAUCUUGCUGUUACUGUUAAUUCUUGGUUCUGCUUGUUUUGCUCAGCAUCAUGAACUGAGUCUUAAAGGAAGCCAGAGAUUCUUGGAGUCAGAGGUGAGAAAAUCACCACUGUGUGAGGACAAGAGAUUGUGGGAAACUGGUCAGUCAGCAAGCAUUUGUAUGAGAUUGAAAAGGUCAGGAUGGGCCAAGAUGUGAAGGGCUUUAAAUGCCAAACAAAGGACUUUAUAUCUGAUUCUGGAGGUGAUAGGGAGCCACGGGGAUUUAUUGAAUGGGAUAGAGUGGUGACAUGGUCAGACUUUACCGUUAGGAAGAUCAGCUAAAUGAAGGAUGGUUAGGAGUGAAGCCUGAGGCAGGUAAACCCACUGGUGGCCAUUGCAAUGGACCAGGUGUGAGGUAAGCCAACCAAGCAAUCAAUCAACUAAUACUUAAUAAGCACCUACUAUGUUCUCAGGGAGAGAAGGGGGCAUGUUGGAAAGAUGCUUCAGAGGUGAAAUCCACCAGAGACGCUGCAGAGGUGAAAUCCACCAGAGACGCUGCAGAGGUGAUACUGACCAGUGGUGCAGCACAGGUGAAAUCUACCAGAAAUGAUAUUUACCAGAGACAAUGCAGAGGUGAAAUCUACCAGAAAUGAUAUUUACCAGAGACAAUGCAGAGGUGAAAUCCACCAGAGGUGCUGCAUAGAUGAAAUCUACCAGAACGCGGCAGAAAUGACAUCUAGCAGAGCCGCUGGAAAGAUUUAAGACGUGAGAAAGUUGCGAGGCCUGAGAGGACCCAACACUGCGGGACCUUGCGAAUGCCACAAACGACGCUGGCCGACAGCAGUGAUGAAAUUCUGUGGGUCAGUGAGCUGUAGAACUCCACGAUGGAAACUACCCCACCCCCACCCCUCCGCAGUUGCACCUCUAAACCAUAUCAACCCAAUCUUUGUUUCUCUUUCCUGGGAAAUGAUCUCCCGGAUUCUGCCUCUUCGCCAAACCCUUUUGGAACUUUAGCCCUUUGCCAAGCAGCGGAAUUUCUUCUUGCUUCUGCCUCUUUGCUAGAUUUCCUCAGAACUCAGUUACAAUCAUCCCCUGGAUUCUGACUGCUCGGUCCCCCGGAGUCAGCCCGCUGCGAGCAGCGUAACGAACCUUUGCCCCUUAACCCGGAGACAGACGAAGUGUGCGAUUCCCUCGCCAAGCCUAGGACACCGACCGAAGGGUUGUGUUGCGGGUAUGUCUUCCUCCUCAACAAGACGGAGCCCCCGAGGUGCCGGGGAGCUGGAACCGGCGGGCCUAGCACCGUCUUGGAUGGGGGGGGGGGGUUGCGAGAGUAAGGGGGCUGGCGACUCCCAGGAUGACUCCCAGGGAUCCCGGAGCGCUGCGGCGAUCGGGCUACUUUUGGGAGGGGAUGACAAGUCCUGUUUCGGACGAGGGCAGUUUGAGAUGUCUGCGGGUGCAACUGGGGCGGCGAGAGGUCGGGGCUGGGUUGGCCGGUGCGGGCGUCAUUCGCAGGGAGGAGGUGGGGGGCGGGUGGGAGCCCCCGGCAUCUCCAGCACGUCCCACAGGCAGGAAAGCCAGCGGGGGAAGCCGAGCAUCUCCCUUGGUGGCUGGACCGCCCGUCCGGGGGGAGGCGGUGGCUCGGGCCCCAGAGGAGCGCCGUCCCAAGGAGAAGGGGGUGCUCGGGAGGCGGUGAGAUCCCCGUCCCCGGCGGGAUUCCAGGCCCUUUCCGGGCCCGGCAUUUCCCACUGGCUCCUCUCAGGCCCGAGGCGAGCAGGGGUCGGCGCAUGCGCAACAGUGGCCGCCCGAGGCAUCCGCGAGAACGGCAAACUGCGCAGGCGCGAUUCUGCCGCGAACAUCCGGGCUCGGUCG
rnacentral:lncRNA from 1 species